UACGAAGGGGGCUAGCGUUGCUCGGAAUUACUGGGCGUAAAGGGCGCGUAGGCGGACAGUUAAGUUGGGGGUGAAAUCCCGAGGCUCAACCUCGGAACUGCCUUCGAUACUGGCUGUCUUGAGUUCGGGAGAGGUGAGUGGAAUGCCGAGUGUAGAGGUGAAAUUCGUAGAUAUUCGGCGGAACACCAGUGGCGAAGGCGACUCACUGGCCCGAUACUGACGCUGAUGCGCGAAAGCGUGGGGAGCAAACAGGAUUAGAUACCCUGGUAGUCCACGCCGUAAACGAUGAGUGCUAGUUGUCGGCAUGCAUGCAUGUCGGUGACGCAGCUAACGCAUUAAGCACUCCGCCUGGGGAGUACGGUCGCAAGAUUAAAACUCAAAG
rnacentral:rRNA from 1 species